CAAAGCAAUUUGCUGUUAGGCCAUAGAUGGGUGUGGAGCCUUUCUCUCAGCUACCAGCUCAGCAGCAGGGUGGGCAGCACUGCACCAGCCUGCUUGACACCAGUGAUUCCCAGUCAUACAGCUCCAACAACACCCUGCAUGGGGAAAGGCAGAGGAGGUAUGUCCCUGACCCAGGGCAUGCGAUCCCAGCAGGAACCGGUCCUCCAUCGGAAAUGAGUGAAGGGUGCCAGGCUCAGGCCAGCAUGCAGCCUGCUGCUCGUUCAGCCCACCCAGGACCCAGGUGAUGGGUGGAAAUGCUGCUUCCUGCAUCCAAGAGGGAGUAUGUGCGCCUGAGAUUCGCUGUGGCCUCAGGCUCAGGUGUGGGGAACCUCCCAAAGCCUCCUAGAUAACACCUCCAGAGCCUGACUCAGACCCCUUCAAUAGCAGAACAAAAUUUCCCAUUACCCUGCAAAUUUUCAAUUCUUCAGUGCAGAAAAUCAGGACAAACACUCAGCCUCCACCCGCCCCAGGGCAGCUCCCACUGGAGGAGGGAGCCAACAAGCCCCUGUGCUUCCUCUCCCAGCAUCUGGGAUGCUAUCAAGCCAAUCAACCUGUAGCUACCAGGUCAUCUUACUCCCCUUUGGGAAGAGCAGCAACGCUAUUAAAACACUUUUUAAUCUUCUGGAAUUUCCCAGGGGUCUGUCCUGGUGCAGACACAGCUCUGCAUGGAUGGGUGGUGAGACUUCAGCUGUAACCAUCCCAGAACAGCAAACAGAAAAUCUGUCCCCCCAGAUCUCCAUUUGAAAUGUUUCCCUUCCUUUUCUUCCCCCCCUCCCCUCCUUUCUUCCUUUCCUUUGCUUCCCCCCUCCUUUCUUCCUUUCCUUUGCUUCCCCCCUCCUUUCUUCCUUUCCUUUGCUUCCCCCCUCCUUUCUUCCUUUCCUUUGCUUCCCCCCUCCUUUCUUCCUUUCCUUUGCUUCCCCCCUCCUUUCUUCCUUUCCUUUGCUUCCCCCCUCCUUUCUUCCUUUCCUUUGCUUCCCCCCUCCUUUCUUCCUUUCCUUUGCUUCCCCCCUCCUUUCUUCCUUUCCUUUGCUUCCCCCCUCCUUUCUUCCUUUCCUUUGCUUCCCCCCUCCUUUCUUCCUUUCCUUUGCUUCCCCCCUCCUUUCUUCCUUUCCUUUGCUUCCCCCCUCCUUUCUUCCUUUCCUUUGCUUCCCCCCUCCUUUCUUCCUUUCCUUUGCUUCCCCCCUCCUUUAGUUUUCUUUUGCAGUGUGUUGUGGUUUUGUUGGGUUUUAGGUUUUUCAGUGGGAACCACUCAAGUGGCAGCAUUGAUCUAAUGGCAGCAGCCACAGCCUGGAUGUUGGGAGGUGGAGGGAGAGGCCAGCCCAGCACUGCAAUGUGGAACAAAUUAUAACUCAGAAAGCAAAGGAAAUGAGAACACCCUGGACACGGUGGCUUUGACGUCCUUUCCUCAGCUCCAAAUCCUGCCCCUCUGCAGAUCCCAUCCCUACAGCUCAGGCUGCCAGGUCAGAGCCCAAAACCCUCUCUGUUCUGAACCAGAGUCCCUGCUCCCUUCCAUUCAGGAUCAAGGCUUCACUUCAGAGCCUGGCCUUUUCUUGUGGGAUUUUUAUCCACCUAAUCUAGGGGCAGAUCAGAGGCUGAUAAUGUCAAUGUCAGCCCCACUGCCGUCUUUAGCCGGAUCAGAGCCACUAAACUCCUUACCACGUUAUUAUUAGCAGCAGGCACUGUGCAGGAGGACCCUGGACUCCAUGGCCCAGAGACCAGACGAAAAGGAUAUAAAGUUAGUCCUGGUCCUGCAAAGAUGAACUCCCUGUUUGUCCUAAAGGUUACAGCUCCACAACCAGAUUACAGCAAUUUAGGACACAGUUCUGCAAGGACAACAGGAGUCCUUUUAGCAGGUUUUCUUUUCUUGCCUUUUUUUUCCCCCUUCAUUAUUUCACAGGGUCUUUUUGAGCCGCCAACGUGCAGCAGCUCCCUGGUAAUGCACAAGUACAAAUGCCAGCCCUCUGCCCAGGCAGCUCUAUUCACAUACACGCACAAGAACCAUUUCACAAAGAGCAUUUGCUUUCUGAUGCAGCAGAGUCUCCGUAGGCUGCCUAAUUAUAAGAUCUGAGCAAUCAUUUUCUUU